CGCCGCAUCAUCUCGCGUGAGUGCCGGGGAGCGGGUCGGCCUGAUCUCUGCUUCCACAGAGCUGCGAAAAAGCAGGAGGCUGCUGGAAAGGCUGUGGUCCAGGAGCAAUUGUCGGGUGAAUGGACUGCUCUAGCAUUUACUGCUACUUGGCCUGAGGUUGCAGACAAGUCUGCAGGUGCCCUCUGUGCCCAUCCAGCAGUUAUCUUCUGAAGACUGCAGCGCUCAUCCUGCCACUAGGGACUGGACUGCAGCUCCCUGCUCAGGCCACUAAACAGAUCAGCCCAGCAAUAAACGAGUUUACAACUUGCUGGAGAGCCUCAUUCAGGUUGCCCUGAGAAAUACAUGAUGUCCAGUGAAGUGAAUGACCCUGAGGAGCCGACACCUGAUCUGCUCACUACAACCUCCCCUGUUGGACAGCAACUACUUUCUUGGAGGAAUAUGUGUCUAGUGACCACGAAAGAAUGGCCGAGACAGCCCACUUGCUCUGGAGCCUGCAGUUGGGAUCCUGGGAAAACCAGCAGACACUGUGAAAGGGACAACUACUGCUUUCUUGUCUGUGUGUACCCACGUGUGCAUGCGUGCGUGUGCCUGCACAUGCCUGAAAGUUUGGCAUGUCUUUCUGCCUCUCAGGGCAGGCAGUUUGUCAGUUCUUAUGUUUAUGAGGUCAGCCAUCAGGUUGGGAACCCCAAGAAUAUGGUCAGAGAUUUGGGGUGCAUCCCAAUAACAGUCUAAUAUACUACACAUCAUUGCCAGCUCUCAAGGGGGAUUUUCUAGGUCUUUCUUUAUGCUACCUUUGGAUGUGACUGUGAAUCUUAAGAGAAUUGCUUCUUUUGUA
rnacentral:lncRNA from 1 species